rnacentral:rRNA from 1 species
CUUAUAUUCUGUAGCAAGGUUAACCGUAUAGGGGAGCCGAAGGGAAACCGAGUCUUAACUGGGCGUUAAGUUGCAGGGUAUAGACCCGAAACCCGGUGAUCUAGCCAUGGGCAGGUUGAAGGUUGGGUAACACUAACUGGAGGACCGAACCGACUAAUGUUGAAAAAUUAGCGGAUGACUUGUGGCUGGGGGUGAAAGGCCAAUCAAACCGGGAGAUAGCUGGUUCUCCCCGAAAGCUAUUUAGGUAGCGCCUCGUGAACUCAUCUUCGGGGGUAGAGCACUGUUUCGGCUAGGGGGUCAUCCCGACUUACCAACCCGAUGCAAACUGCGAAUACCGAAGAAUGUUAUCACGGGAGACACACGGCGGGUGCUAACGUCCGUCGUGAAGAGGGAAACAACCCAGACCGCCAGCUAAGGUCCCAAAGUCACAGUUAAGUGGGAAACGAUGUGGGAAGGCUCAGACAGCCAGGAUGUUGGCUUAGAAGCAGCCAUCAUUUAAAGAAAGCGUAAUAGCUCACUGGUCGAGUCGGCCUGCGCGGAAGAUGUAACGGGGCUAAACUGUGCACCGAAGCUGCGGCAGCGACGCUUAUGCGUUGUUGGGUAGGGGAGCGUUCUGUAAGCCUGCGAAGGUGUCCUGUGAGGGAUGCUGGAGGUAUCAGAAGUGCGAAUGCUGACAUAAGUAACGAUAAUGCGGGUGAAAAGCCCGCUCGCCGGAAGACCAAGGGUUCCUGUCCAACGUUAAU